rnacentral:lncRNA from 1 species
AUUGCAUAAACUAUGUUAAUUACGCUUGUAGAAAUAAGUGGCGAUUAAAAUUUUGAAGUUAAAAAUUAUUAAUUAGCUUAAAUCAAAUAAAUUAAUUAGGCUGCGUUUGAUUCGGAUAUAAGUAAGAAUUGCUAGUUCCAGAGAUAGGUACAAGUUUAAGUAUAAACAGGUACAAAUUUUUAAAAUUUUGAAGUUAAAAAAUUAUUAAUUAGCUUAAAUCAAAUAAAUUAAUUAGGCUGCGUUUGAUUCGGGUAUAAGUAAGAAUUGCUAGUUCCAGAGAUAGGUACAAGUUUAAGUAUAAGCAGGAACUAGACCAAUUUUCUGUUUGGAUAAAAAUUGGGUUGUUCCUACGAAUAAAAUAAAUAGUAUUUGGAUGGUUAAAUUGGAAUAAGAAGAAUAAGAGUUAUAAUUUGAAAUUAAAAAUUAUAUUAUGUAAUUAAUUAACAUCCAAAUAUUACUUAAAAAUAAAUAAUAAAUUAAUUAUUAAUAAUUAAUUAUAAAAUAAUAAAUUAAAAAUAUCGAUUAUCUAAUUAAUAAUAAUAAUAAUUGGUAAUUAUUAAUAAAUAUUAUUAAUUAUUAAUAAUUAAUUAUUAGUAAUAUAUUAAAUAUAAUAGUUAUCUAAUUAUUAAUAUAAUUAAUUAAUUAAUUAAUUAUUUAAUUAUUAAAGUAAUAACUAAUGGUUUUAAUAUAUUAAUUAGAUUAAUUAAUAAUUUACUGCCAUUAAAAUUAAAUUUAGAUUUUAAUUAAUCUUGUUCUCAUUAAGGAAUAAACUUGUUCUAGAAAAAGAGUGGAACAGUUGUUCCAGCAACUACUGUUCUUGGAUAUCAAACAUCACGUUUGAGAACAAAGAAAAAAACAAGGGCUUUAUUCCCCCUUUGUUUCUGAACCAAACGCUAUCUUAGUGAAAAGAUUACUUAAUACUAUCAGUUUUAGUAGAUAAAUCUGUUCAAUCGUGGAGAUUAUUUAGAUUUGAAUUUUAAAGAAUGUGAGAUUGAAUUUU